rnacentral:rRNA from 1 species
CCUCAGAUCAGACGAGACUACCCGCUGAAUUUAAGCAUAUCAGUAAGCGGAGGAAAAGAAACUAACAAGGAUUCCCUCAGUAACGGCGAGUGAAGCGGGAAGAGCCCAGCACCGAAUCCCCUGGUUCUGCGCUAGCGGGAAUUGUGGUGUUUGGGACCCCUAUCGGCGCUGUGUCCCUGUGCCCAAGUCCUUCUGAUCGGGGCCUUUCCCAUAGUGGGUGUCAGGCCUUUAGCGGCACGGGACUAGGCGUCCUUGAGCGUCCUUGGAGUCGGGUUGUUUGGGAAUGCAGCCCUAAGCGGGUGGU